GGCGGACGGGUGAGUAACGCGUGGGAAUAUGCCCUUCUCUAAGGAAUAGCCUCGGGAAACUGAGAGUAAUACCUUAUACGCCCUACGGGGGAAAGAUUUAUCGGAGAAGGAUUAGCCCGCGUUAGAUUAGGUAGUUGGUGGGGUAAUGGCCUACCAAGCCUACGAUCUAUAGCUGGUUUGAGAGGAUGAUCAGCCACACUGGGACUGAGACACGGCCCAGACUCCUACGGGAGGCAGCAGUAGGGAAUCUUAGACAAUGGGGGAAACCCUGAUCUAGCCAUGCCGCGUGUGUGAUGAAGGCCUUAGGGUCGUAAAGCACUUUCGCCAGAGAUGAUAAUGACAGUAUCUGGUAAAGAAACCCCGGCUAACUCCGUGCCAGCAGCCGCGGUAAUACGGAGGGGGUUAGCGUUGUUCGGAAUUACUGGGCGUAAAGCGCACGUAGGCGGAUUAGUAAGUUAGAGGUGAAAUCCCAGGGCUCAACCCUGGAACUGCCUUUAAUACUGCUAGUCUUGAGUUCGAGAGAGGUAAGUGGAAUUCCGAGUGUAGAGGUGAAAUUCGUAGAUAUUCGGAGGAACACCAGUGGCGAAGGCGGCUUACUGGCUCGAUACUGACGCUGAGGUGCGAAAGUGUGGGGAGCAAACAGGAUUAGAUACCCUGGUAGUCCACACCGUAAACGAUGAAUGCCAGACGUCAGCAAGU
rnacentral:rRNA from 1 species